AACGAACGCUGGCGGCGUGCCUAACACAUGCAAGUCGAACGUGAUUGAGGUGCUUGCACCUCAUGAAAGUGGCGCACGGGUGAGUUACGCGUAGAUAAUCUACCUGAUGGAUCGGGAUAACACUUCGAAAGGGGUGCUAAUACCGGAUAAGCCCACGGAGUCUUUGGACACUGCGGGAAAAGGAGGGGACCUUCGGGCCUUCCGUCAUCAGAUGAGUCCGCGUACCAUUAGCUAGUUGGUAGGGUAAAGGCCUACCAAGGCGACGAUGGUUAGCUGGUCUGAGAGGAUGAUCAGCCACACUGGAACUGAGACACGGUCCAGACUCCUACGGGAGGCAGCAGUGGGGAAUUUUGCGCAAUGGGGGAAACCCUGACGCAGCAACGCCGCGUGAGUGAGGAAGGCCCUUGGGUCGUAAAGCUCUGACAGAGGGAAAGAAAUGUGGGUGGCUAAUAUCCAUUCCGCUUGACGGUACCCUCAAAGGGAGCACCGGCUAACUCCGUGCCAGCAGCCGCCGCGGUAA
rnacentral:rRNA from 1 species